rnacentral:lncRNA from 1 species
UCGCCUAGACCGAUCGAGGCCGGGGUUUCACUGCUCGAGGCGGAUUUAGGAGUUAGGAGAACGGGUUCUAGAUAAGUUGCUCUCGCGCUUGAUCCGCUCGCCCCUUCCAGGAUGCUUGACAUCAAACCGCGUCUCGCUCUGGAUCGUUCAAGAAGCCUGUGAGUUCACCCGGUGGUGGAUGAAGAGAUGCAGAUACUUGUCUUGGGGCUCCAUCGCGAUGGUUCUAAACGUUUCUGAGGUACUAUGAAAGAGCAGAUGAUUUAUCAACCAGUUUGGUUCACGAACUCGGAGUAGUUCAACGAACAUAACUUUUUUGAACUUCUAAUGCCAGGAACAUGCAUCACAUUUUACUGAGUACAAGCGGCACUCCAUGGAUAGGCUUCAAGCCAAACUUCAUCGCAGGAUUAUGGCGGUAGUUCGGUGAAAGCCGGAACAAGAAUCGCUGUAGUAUCAUAGCCAGAAUGACUUUGGCUUCGAUCAUCGCAAACGACUGGCCCACGCACACCCGCGGCCCAAACGAAAACGGCAUGAAAGCAUUGGGAUGCUUGCACGCGCUUGAGAUCCCAGCUUUGAAGCGAUCCGGAUUGAAUUGGCCUGCAUCUUCUCCCCAGAGCUCCUUAUCCUGAUGCAAUCCAACAAUUGGAAACGACACAGAUACUCCUCUUGGAACGUGUAAAUCUUGCAGCCAAGACUCCUCCACACACUCCCUGGUCAUCUCGACUACUGGUGGAUACAGGCGCAGAGUUUCGUAAAGGAUCAUUCCCACCUGUUCAAGAAUCAAGAAGUUAAGUUUUGGAAUUAGGAGAUAUUGAUCGACUUACGAGCUUGAGCCUGCUGACACUCUCACCAUCAGGAAUCUCAUUGCCACAUACUUCGUGCACCUCAGCACGGGCGCGUUCUUGCCAUUCAGGAUAGCCUCCCAGUAGCAUCAAAGUCCAGGUUAGUAAGAUGGCUGUGGUCUCAUGGCCCGCAAG